UUUAAAUAUUUUAGCACAGGAGUGCAUGAUUUCACAAGAGGUGAUUUUUUCAUUGUUCAUAAAGGGUGUCUAUAUUUGUUUUUUGAUUUAAAGCAUUUUAGGUAUUUUACUUUUGAUAGUAUUGUUGUAUGGUUUGUAAACUACUUAUAUAGAGAUAUUAUUUUUUAACUCCUUGUUGUUAAUCAUAACAAUUCUGUUUGAUUUUUUUUUGGAAUGAUCAAUCCACAUAUCCCAAAUACCUGUGGAUUUUUAUUAAGCACAAGUUGUAUGCAAUCAUGGAAUGUUAGAUAGUGACUGACCAUAAACUGAAUGGAGUGAUGUAUAUUUCAUAGUACAAUAAAAACGAGAAGAGAUCUUUACAAAAAAAAAAAUUCAUUACAACCAUUCAAAAGAAACUUUACAAAUUUAAUAGCAUGUGUUUGCACAAUCUUUUUAGUUCAUUAAAAUUCUACAACUGUUACAAGAGCUAGUAAAUUUAUCGGUAGUGUAUUUGCUAACACAGUAAGAGUGUCUUUAUUAUAACAUGUACAUGUAUGUAUACAUCACCUGUUUUAUGGGAAAAUGUUCAUUUCAGAAUGUUACAUGGUAACCCUGACUUGCUCAAUAAAGGUGCAUAAUACAUGC
rnacentral:misc_RNA from 1 species